rnacentral:tRNA from 1 species
GAUUCAGUAAACUAAAGAAGUUAUAGGUUUCAUGCACCUAAUAUGUGUCACAAGGACUCUUGAAUCU